ACACACACACACACACACACACACACACACUCACACACACUCAUAUUAAAGUGGCUAAUUAUAAGGUGCCAUUGAUUAUUGAGAUGGAUUCUGGUUUCAGAGCUGUCACUCAGGAGUUUUAUUGUUUUGUACUUAACAUUUGCUUCUUGUCAGGGUUUGGUGUGUGUGUGUGUGUGUGUGUGUCUGUCUGUCUGUCUGUCUGUCUGUAUAUGGGUAUGCACGCUGUGUGUGGCGGUGAGAAGUCAACCUUGGGAGUCAUUCUUCAGGAACCCCUCUCCCCCUUGACCAAGUGUCACUGGGACCAGGGACACACUAACUAGGCUAGGCAGAAUGGUGAGUGUCCCCGGGGGUCCGCCUGUCUCCAGCACUUCAGUUCUGGGAUUACAGGGACAUCCACUAUGCCUGGCUGUUCGCAUGUACUCUGGGAUUUGAACUCAGGCCCUCAGGCUUGCAAGGCAGCAAUCACUUUACCACCUCUGCUCCUCUUGCCCCAUCCUUGUGUUUUGAGUUAGAAGUUUGUCUCACUGUGUCUGCUGUGUUCUUUGUUUUCAGUGGGAUUUUGUUUUAAUUCUUUCAGGUCUGACCAUCUUUUGUUCUUUCAGAAAGGAUUUUUGGAAUCAAAUUCUGUAGUUGUGGGUUUUGUUUUUGUUAUUUAUUGUUGUUAUUGUUUGUUUUUUGUUUUUGUUUUUUACUAUUGAAAAUAAAAUCAAGGUAUAAGACCUAAUUAAAAAUUUGUACUAAUUAUUGGGGCUUAAGUUUGGGAUGGUCUUUUCCCUGCCUGGCCCCUAAGCCUAGGGAGGUUUUCUACCAGUUUGUUCUUAAAUGAGAGCCUGGUCUUCAGCAUCCAGAUAUGGUGGUAGGGAUUGCUUUUAGGCUUCUCACCUUGCUCACGCUCUGAGUGGAGUCCUAGACUCAUUAGGAAAACUCAUGCUUAGUUCAGGGCUUAGCAGACUGGUCUGUAAACCAGAUCUGACCCAGGGCCGCCUUUUUUUUUUUUUUUUUUUUUUUAGAGAUUUAUUUAUUUAUUUAUUUAUUUUAUGUAAGUACACUGUAGAUGUCUUCAGACACACCAGAAGAGGGCGUCAGAUCUCAUUACGGAUGGUUGUGAGCGAUCAUGUGGUUUCUGGGAUUUGAACUCAGGACCUUCAGAAGAGCAAUCAGUGCUCUUAACCGCUGAGCCAUCUCUCCAGCCCAGGCCUUUAUUUUUUGAGUGACAUUUGAAUGGAGCACAGGAGUUCCUAUUGUUUAAGUAUUACCUGUGACUUCUCUUCAGCUGCAGCACAAGGUAGUGCCACAGCCCUCAGCAGGGAAAGCUGAAGGGACCUGUGUGGGAAAUGUGUUGACUUGUAACUCUCUAAUUUACUGACACCCUGUCUAGGUGAAAACCUUCCUUUAAGCCCUGCCUGUCUUUUCUACUGUCUCUGCUCUGAGCUCCUGAUCCAAAUCUUUUUUCUUGCAAGCUCACAAAGGUUUUCCUGCAGUUGGGGAUGGUCUCUGUGUAUGCAUUUCUACUGUGGGCCGUUUCAGGCACUACAGUAGUGACUGGUGGCAUGAGUUGACUCUGGUACCUUGUGUUCCGUGUAUUCUAAGAGCUGACAUGGGGUGGGGAGCACAGCUGAUUACUGUAUUUGGGGUUCACCUCAGUUGUGUGGGGGUCUGAUGGAGUCAGCUGGAGGAGGUGUACGAGGGCCACGCAGGGACUCUUGGUUUUAGGGGCUGAGUUGUGAUGGUUUUGCUCCCUUCCUUUAGUUAAGUUCCAUCCCUACGGUGGACAAGGCUGAGCUCCCGAGCUCUCUCCUGCUGUCAGCUGUGUACCUUUCCUCUUAGUAAAUACCAACUGCUUACCGAUAGGCCAGACUCAUUUCUACUUGCUUAUUUCCUGUCUCCAUCAGCUGAAGCUCCUGAAUGAUGACAGAACCAGUCCCGUGUACAGGCGGAGGGGCCACUGUGGGGACGAAGAUGGGAACAUUGCCAUUUUUAGCCACUGAGACUGUUAAAUUUGCUUCUGAGCCUGGAAUGACCCCGACCCUGCCUCUCCUGCUGGGAGAGUUUGUUAUGCCAAGAGUACACACAGAGAGACAUUCACACAUUUGUGUGUCCUGCACCCCCAGUGCACAUAGAUGCUCAAUCCAAGAGUGACCUGUAGGGGGCAGAGUUGCUCAGGGGUACACAGCUGAGGGUCCACCCUGCCUUAGACUCAUCUAGGUUGCUAAGAGUGGAUGCUCUGUGCCUUGCCGAAGACCCACAGAGUCAGGAUUGCUAAUGUAGGACUGGGAUCUUUUCAGGUCGUUCCUGCAGGGUUUGUUCUCUUCCUGGCUCAUUCUUUAAGAACUGGAGAAGGCCACUUUGUGGGAGACUGUAGCUAAGGGGUGCAGGCCAAGAAAGGCAGGAAGAGCUUUCAUCGUUAUUUGAAGGAAGAUUUAGACUCACACAGAAGUGGUAAGUAUUGUGAUAGUCUGUUUCCACCACUGUGACAGUACUGCCCUCUGUGUGAAGGGCAGUGGUUCUCGGCUGUUUCUUUUUUAUAAGGACCUUGUUCUGCUUGGCCAGGGACUCCUCACAGGCCCUAGUUUAGCCUGGAUUUCUACUUAAAGAGCCUGUUUGUAAUCAGAGUCACCUUGAGAGUUCAGGAGGGGAUGUGCAAUUCAGGCCCUGACAUCCUGCUGCCUCGUGGGAUGGCGUAGCGACAGUGCAUGGUGGAGGAAGGAACUCCUUGGUGCCUCUCAGGGAGGGGCCAUUUUCAAUUUCCAAACAUUUAUCUGUGUAUAUGUGUGUCCGUGUGUGCUACAUCAGACAUGUGGCGGUCGCAGGCCCACCCAAGGGACUCUCUCCUACCUUUUGGGCCCUGGGGAUUGACAACUAGAUUUGGCAGGCUUGGCAGCAAGCACUGUUACCAGCUGAGUUGCCUCAGCAGCUCAAUGUUUUUAUAUGUAAUUUUUCACUAAGCCUUGGGUUCGCAUUUGUGUUGAUCUUGUUCAAGGUCUUUCCUUGAUACUUGUACACAUGCCAGUGUGCUGUGGACACCUGUGAGUCCACCUUUCUGUGGACGGUGAUGGGUUUAUCGUGUGGGGGUACAGUUUUGAUAUCUUUAUUAAUUAUACGUGAUGCCUUUAUGUUAGAUCUUUCUAAAUAAAUAGCAAGUAUUAUUCAUCCACAUGACAAGCACUGCUGGUGGGCUCAGAGACGACAUGUAUGCAGUUCAUUAGAGCGAGGCCUGGCUUCAAUGUGGAUGAUAGUAGGGGAUGCCUUCUCAACAGGCAGGCUGAGGCACAGCACAAGGCAUGCCAGGAAGGGGAUACAGAAAGGCCGUAUGCCUGGGGUAGGCCCUGUAGGUUGAAGGGUGCUGAUUUAAACAAGUGGGCAGAAGGUAUGGGUAUCUAUCGGGGAGGGACACGGGACAGAUGGGGCCCCUAUUAGGAUGUUCUCCGCAAGCCUGUGCCUGAGUGCUCAAUAAAUGUUUGCUAUUGCUGUUUGACAGCUGCACGAGUAGCUGAGUAGUUAGAGUAAACAAAAAUUGCUGCCCCAAAUACACUUUUUGUUGUUGGACAUCCCUCCUGCAGACUUGUCUUCCUGUGUGUGUGCCUGUGAAUGGAUCAAUGUUGUCUGGCACUGCCUUUUCACCCAAGUAUCUUAAUGCAGAGAAUAGAGAGCCCCCAAGGGUGUGUGUGUAUGUGUGUACGCGUACACACGUGCACAGGCUUUUUUAGAUUAAGAACAAGCUUCUUUUAAACUCCGCCUUCCUACUCUUCUAAAGAAAGAUUCGUCCAGUUUUGUCUCCCUUUAAGAAACGUGUGUGCUUAUUUUAGUAUUGAAAUGGUGUGUAAGUGGUGACUUGAGGAGUUUGCACUGCGUGUCUGUGGAUGGGUCCUUUGCCCUGGGCACACUCCUGGCCUGCAUCAGUGAGGAGCCCUGUGGUGUGUGUUCUGGCUCAACACUCAGCAGCAGGCUAAUGUUACCCAAGGGGCCUAGGGUGUGGGCGGGGUGGUUUUACUAUUCAGUAUCCUGGAAGGCAAAACACAGAAAUGUUCAGCUGCCUUCCAUAAAUUAUAUAUAAAGUCAAAACCAAGAGGGCCAGGCAUGGUGGCGCACGCCUUUAAUCCCAGCACUUGGGAGGCAGAGGCAGGUGGAUUUCUGAGUUCGAGGGCAGCCUGGUCUACAGAGUGAGUUCCAGGACAGCCAGGGCUACACAGAGAAACCCUGUCUCGAAAAAAACCCCAAAAAACCAACCAAACAAAAAACAAACAAACAAAACAACAACAAAAACCAAAAGUCAAAACCAAGAAAAUGUUAUUUUCUUCCAGAAUGAGCAAUAUAAAGAAAAGCACGUGAGAAUUCAGCAUUCAGGCCAGAAUGAGCAGUGAGCUUCCUACUGUCAUCAUCAGGAGAAAAGCCAGUUGUAAAGUAUGGUGACAGUCGUUGCUUUGGGAUUCUUCAGCAGGCUGAUUUUGGCUGUACACUGUCUUAUUGAGCUAAUAUUAACACCAACUUGGUAGCCUCUGAGUUGAAUUAAGACUUCAUUAAUAGUGAGUGGGUGACUUGGGCAUGACAUCUGGGGUCAGAAGAGAGCCAUCGCCACCACGUCUAUCAGACUACACUGUCGUGGGUGGCAUAGACAUGUAGCCUGUGCUCCACACUCUCUACUUGCAUUCUGGUCUAUUUGUCCUCUGCCCCAGAAUCCUGCCUAACAGAUAGUUCUCUGGGAGUCAUUACUAAUUGAUUAGAGUUGCCCGGAGAUGAAUCACACUUAGUAACUUCAUCCUGCUGAGCAGAGAUGAACUUCAUUUGGAUAAUUGGGAACUGUUUAUGGGGUAGUGGGUGCUAUCAUUCUUGGAGGUUUAUAUAUUUUUAAUAAUACACAAGCAUUUCUAGGCAAAUAUUAAUGCUAUUUUAUUUCUAGGUUAGUAAACGGAAUACAUUUUAAGUUUUUACUGAAAUUGAAAAUAUAUUUUGGGUUAAGUGAUGAUUUUUACAUCAUUUGGUGGUCCUGGCUUAAGCUAUUUCACAGUAGCAAUACUGAGCACUAGGGAAUAUGCAGGCAAGACUGGUGUUCAGGGUGCAAAGAGGGAAGCUAGAAGGUUUUCCUACACCUUCAGGUGUGGGGACAGCUGAUAGGCACUGCACAUCCUUGGAACCAACAUCAGGACUUUCUCCCCCGUUUGAGUGACCUCAUAUCUGAAAAGGAACAAAGAUAAAUUCCUUUUAAAUAGUAGGCGAGUUGGUUUAUUAGUGUUCCAUUAGUCUGAAUCAGUUUCCUGUGCAGUUUAUGUAGACACAGGAAGGAAGUGGCUAUAGAGAGGAUGUGAGGUAGAAGUGUGGGGAAAUGUGACUAUUUGAGUGGACUCAGUGGUGAGUGCUUACCAGGAAACCGCGCUAUUGUGUGUAGUAUUCUGUUCUAGAAUUUCAGUCGCCAGUUGAAAAAAAAAAGCUACAAAACACAGGGCAUCAUGAAGAAGAUUGACAGACCGUAAGAUGCGAUGCAUGUGGUGGGGUCAGGAAGACUGCGUGCCAUUUAUUUCUAAUCUUGGAGCAUUGUUCAGUCAUUCAUAUGCAGGUUAAGAUUAAUAUCUGAAAGCAAUAAUUAAGCCCAUGACUGCCAGGACUAAUUAGAGAGAGAAAGGAUGCGUGCUCCCAGAUGUCGUUACUUAUUCCUGAUCUGUCUUACUAAUAAGGGUUCUGGUUUCUGUUGUUUUCCUACUAAUUGUUUGUAGCAGGACAAGAUUUGUUUAAUGAAGCUCAUUGUACAUGGACCAUUAUUAAUUGUAAUUAGAAAAUAACUCCCAAACAAACACGAUUAUCUUCGGCAGUCGGCAAUGAGAGUUGUCUCACUGAUGUCGGUUUUUAAACCCUCUGCACUUCCCCUUUCUUUUACAGUACAGGCUAAGAUGCACUUUCGCUUAAGUGACAAGGUCUGCCAAGAGUCAAAGCCAAGAGUGUAUGGCAGCGGGUGAGAUGCUUCGUCCUGCGAACUGUCAGUGGUUUAGGGCCCCACAGGUAGAGAGGGGGGUCAGCUAAUUCUGACGUGUGGUGCAGUUGAGUAUGAUGUGCAGUGGUUUAGAGAAGAGUCUUAAUCUUGGCACUGUUUAGCGCCAUGCAGUCCUGCAGCAAGGUGCUUGCCUCUUUCUUCCUCAGUUGUAUGCUAGUUAUAAAACACUUGAAAUCACAGCUGCCUCACAAUGAGAGAUUAUAAGUGGCUUUAAAAAAUUCUUGUCAAUACUGAUUUUCGAGCUAUUUGGAAAUGAAUCAAACAGCCCCCCUUCCCCAGUAAAGUGUGUGGGUGUGUGUGAUAUGUGUGAGUAUAGGUGUUGUAGUGUAAGGACGGAGACCAGAGAGCAACUUUCUUUUCUUCUUCCUGUCCUUUUCUUCUUCCUGUCCUGUUUCUGCUGGUGUGUGUGUGUUCCAGGCUGCCCGGCUGGUAAGUUCUUAGGCAGUUCUUUCCCCCACCCCAUAAUAUUCUUGUUAAUUAUUUGGAAUAUUUUAGGCAAUUCUAAUGUCUUGAUAAACGCAGGCAGAAACAUCCGGCCUUUCACAUUGAUCCUGGGGUCAAACUUAGGCCACUAGACUUCACCUGCGUUGCCAUUCUGCAGGUCUCAGAAUACUUUUUUUUUUAAUUUGUUAUUGAAAGCAACAAGAUCAGCAAUAUCGAAGUUUAGAAGUAAUUAUAUUAAAUAUUUAAAACAACAUUUGUGUAUACCUUCUGAUCCUAGUUUAUACACAUGCAUGCUUUAUAUAGUUGGAAUGAUAGCAUAGGUAGCAUUCACUGGGGGCAGCUGAACCUGACUUGUUAAUCCUGGCCCAAUGCAGGGUGGGCAGUGCGCUGGGUAGAGGGGUCUCAGCCACAGCCGUGUGGGAGAAGGGUGGGCAGGCUCUCUGAAAGAGUUGGAUGCUACACACAUCUGACCAGUGUGAACGCUGGGAUUCCUCACAGUGUAAGGCAAUCUGUGUUAUAGGCAGAGGAUCUGGCCAGGAGGGGUUCAGUGUUGGAAAGGACUCUUUUUUUGGUCCCACCCCUUAGGAAGUUGACCCAACUUGGUAGACACUUGGUAGAAGAAAAGAAUAGCAUCAAGCUGGAGAAUGGGAGGUGACUGAGAAGCAGCGUCAACCUGUCCCCUUUCCUAGAUCAGUGCUCCCCAACACUGUAGGUUGUUAGGAAAUUUUUGGAAAUUGGCUAAUGGUUUCCUGGGGCUGUCACAGCUGUCUGACUUCCGUGGACUCACUGCUUGGGGGUAACACCGUACCAGACUCAAUUCCUACCCAUGUUAUUUUAACAUAAAUAGACACAGGGGAGGAGUGUCUGAGGCUAGCCCCGAGGGAAUGCUCACAUUGGCCAGUUUGCCCAACUGAACAUCAAGGCUAUCGCAGCUGGCUGUGUUUGCUUUUUCGAGGUAAUGGGAAAUCCAUGCUGUGAUUCUUGCUUUAUUUCUCUAGCAGCCAUUGCAUAGCAGGGUGGAGCUUUUGGUGGUGGCGGGGCCGGCACACUGCUCACAUCAAGACCACCUUACUGUUUCAUCACCCAGUGUUACUAUAGACCCAGGAGCAUGGCGACGUCAGAGGCUGACUUACAGUUGCUGAAAAUAUUUUAAAAACGAUGCUGGAAACUAAUGAACUUGAAUAUGCUUGGGAUAAUGGAAUAUGGGACAGAAGUUUCUGGCAUGUUCCUGUUUAAAUUUUGUCGUGAGAGAUUUUGAGCAUUUUCAGACGUAAAGACACCACGGAAGCAUCUCCAGGCUAGUGGGAGAGCACAUGAGACAGGUUCUUGUACUGUAUGUAGCCCAGGCUGUCUCAAUCAUAGCCUCUGCCCCUGGACUGUACUGGAAUGACAGGUGUGUGCUGCUGUACCCAACUUGGUUUUCUUCCUUUCUUAAAUCGAUUCUGGUGUUCAGAAGAUGGAUACAUUCACUUCUUUAUAAACACCUUCACUUAGCCCUUAGCUGUUAAAGUGUUCAUGAAUAACUUCUGGUUCCAAUUUGAACCCCAGCCAAGCUAGCAUGGCAGUGAAGACCUGAAAUCCCACCACUCAGGAGGCUGAGGCACCAUCUGAGGCUAACUUGGCUUACACAGUGAGUACCAGGGUAGCCUGAGCUACGUAGUGAGGUUGCAGGUUUCUCACAUGGGGUUUGCUGGUCAUGGUCUAUGUCCUCACUGUACAGUGGCUGCAUCGUCCCGAGAGUCUUCCUUACUUUGGAUCAGUCCAGUGGCCAUUUUAAAUGAUUGCUACUGGAUUAGCAUGGAGCUCGCUUUGUCUGUUGUCUAUGGUGGCACAAUUUGCUCAUCACCUGUCUUUCCCAAGCCACCUCUUCUGCUUGUAGAAUCAGGGGAGACAGUGAAGAUGCUGCCAGCAGCAGUGUAUUCUUCAGCCCUGCAGUGCUCAGUGGGUUCAGGAUUGCUCUGGCGCCCCGGCCUCUCAUACAGACCACAGACCCCAGGCUUCCAAGGGCUGGCCUUGCUUUUAUAACUUUCCCCAGACUUUCCUUUGGCGUCUUUCCCCUCACAGCUGCUACAUCCGUUGUACUGUGUUAAAGGCGCAUGGACACCUGCGGGGCAGGAGGAGUAAGAAUUCAAGGACAGAGGAGAGCGAAUGACCAGAAGGCAAAUCAUAUGUGUUAUGUUAUAUGUUAAUGGCACAGUAAUUAACAGAUACUCAUAAAGGGGGAAAAAUUAGGACUUUGCUCAUCCAUCAUCCAUCCACCCACCCAUCCAUUCAUCCAUCUGUCUCUCUCAUCUUCUAACCACCAUGGAGGAAGAGAUACCUUUGUAGUGAGAACAGGUUUCAAGAAUCAGUGGGCUUUGGUAUCAUUAGGGCAGAACCAGGGGUCAACAUAAACACAACAGCUGGUUUUAGCAGCAAUGAGAUUUGAGAACUGGUAGAGGAUCUUGGAUAUUGAAGGAAGAUGUCUGAUCCUAAUUCUUAAUGUUACAAACACUUUAAAAAUGGUUUUCAUGAAGGGAUGGAAGAAAGAUUGCAAGGGAGACCGACUGGUUGGAGGGAGAUAGACCCGCUUGAACAGUAAUAGUGUGACCCACGGGUGAUGAUAAUGUCUGUGUGAAGUGCAGUUAUUGAGAUGAAACUGUGUUUAAGAGUUAUUACAGUAUGCUUUUCCUCUGUCAGAAGUGGGCACUUGCAAGUAAUAAGAUGGACUUUGAAGUGUUCUGUAAUGUCACCCCUCCACUCAGUGAUUCUCAUGGGUGCUGAGAGCCAGCUUCCAGUCAUUGACACAAGCGUGUCUUCCGAGGGUGGGCUGAAAUCGCCUUUUCUUGAGCUGGCUGGCAAAGUGAUAGAAAUGACAAGGUUUCCACCUAUGACUGUGGACCCCAGUUCUUUAUGUUUGUUACUGCUAUCUGAGUUCAGAUUUAAAAUGGUGUGAUAUUAUUUGUGAGUGUGCAACUCUGUCAUUUGUUAUUCUUGAAAUCCCAAACUGACAAAACCAUUUUCAUUAAUCCAGCCAGUAACCCAAGAAGGUAUUUCAUCUUUUAAAGCUUCCUGUCUCCCGUGGCCUUUCAGACAGGACAGAGAACGUGCAUCUCCCUGGAGGAAUAGUCAAGCAUCCUGGUGGGGAGUGUAUGGGCAGUGUGGCAAGGUGGGGAGUGUAUGGGCAGUGUGGCAAAGACGGUGACCAUGCUGUUCAGGUUACAUUCCCAGGUUUGAUCUGACAGAAGACACGCCUGACUGCUCCAGUCACAGGAACUUAAUGAAGGCAACCUUUCCACCAUCCAGCGGCGGUGCCGUGACCACUCCAAAGGGCAGCUCCAGGAUGAAGCUGUCCAGACCUAAAGGGAGUGUUGGAACUUGCCAGGCGGUUAGGGUUGAGGGCGGGUCGAUAGGGGGCGCUCUCACCCUCAGGCUUACAACAGGAAGGAAGCCACCUUCCUCACCCCACUUGUACCUCAAACUUUUUAAAAAAGAAAUAAACACUACCUCUUGCUGAUUCUAAGUUUAAA